UUGUAGUUACUUUCUUGCCCUAGAGUUGAACUAGUAAAAGGUGCCCAUGCUGCGAGUGCAGUCGUAACGCUUUGACGUUGGAUCCGAGCCCAUGGAGAAAGUUGGAGCUGUAGAGCUGUAUUGGACAUUUGCUGGCUGGCGCAUCCUCUUGCCAAAGUCCAACAUCAGGGGAAAGUGCAGUGCUGCAUGUCUGGAAAAAAAGUUCAUUGACUAAACACCAAGCGAUGUCUGCCAAGGUGUCGAGCUUUCAAAGUGCAAAGAGAGAGUAAGCUUGCUCUAACAAACAUAGCAGUGGUUAUGAAAAUGAUAAUGUGCAUUUGUAAGUACAUACUGUCAUAGUGCGCUCGGUGCAAAACAAGUAACCAACUAAGGCAUGCCGAGUUUUAAAUAGCAUAGAUGUAUUAUGUCCGGUACCGCCUCACACAAGAAACGCCUGCUGGUGUGCCAUACCCUUCUACCUAUGAAUUCGCAGCAAUUGGGGACCUAUUAAUUGCAC